CUAGAACACACCCGUGAUAUCACGGGUCCGUGACUGAAUUAAAGUAUAUAACUAUGUGCAAGCCUUAUUUUAGUAUUAGUAUUGUCAUCUGAUAAAGUCAUGCCGAUUAUAAGAUACACAGUUUUUCUCUGCUUUCAAGUCUUUCUGUUUGAACCCGUCGAACUGAAACAAUAAUAUUAAUUAUUUGGAAAACAAAAGGUCCUGGAAUGGAGUAUUUUUUAAUCAACAGCAUUGUCCCAUAUA
rnacentral:lncRNA from 1 species